rnacentral:rRNA from 1 species
UACACUCCUACGGGAGGCAGCAGUGGGGAAUUUUGGACAAUGGGCGAAAGCCUGAUCCAGCCAUGCCGCGUGCAGGAUGAAGGCCUUCGGGUUGUAAACUGCUUUUGUACGGAACGAAACGGCCUUUUCUAAUAAAGAGGGCUAAUGACGGUACCGUAAGAAUAAGCACCGGCUAACUACGUGCCAGCAGCCGCGGUAAUACGUAGGGUGCAAGCGUUAAUCGGAAUUACUGGGCGUAAAGCGUGCGCAGGCGGUUAUGUAAGACAGUUGCGAAAUCCCCGGGCUCAACCUGGGAACUGCAUCUGUGACUGCAUAGCUAGAGUACGGUAGAGGGGGAUGGAAUUCCGCGUGUAGCAGUGAAAUGCGUAGAUAUGCGGAGGAACACCGAUGGCGAAGGCAAUCCCCUGGACCUGUACUGACGCUCAUGCACGAAAGCGUGGGGAGCAAACAGGAUUAGAAACCCUAGUAGUCCCAU